CUGCGCCGCGCCCGUCCCGACUGGAGAGGAGGAAAUGGGCUCUUCCGGGCACCUCCCCCUACGGCCUAGCCGGCUCUUCCGGGCACCUCCCCCUACAGCUCCGCCGGCUCUUCCCGGGGCCGCCCGCCCUGCGCAGGAUUCCUUCUAUUAUGGCUCCAUGGCCCACUGGUGUACUGGUUUUUCCCCCUGUGAAUAUUCAGCAACUGAGGAGGAUGCAGUCUGUUUGGAUCCCAUCCUGCUCCUACAGAGAUCAACAGGAGUUUUGCCCCGGCUUCAACAGGAGCUGGAUUUGGUUCAUGUUUUUUAUCCUUUGCAGAGGCCCAAUUAUCAGACAGUGCUGCCAUCUGAAUGGGAAAGAAAGGAAAGGUGAAAUUGUUCAGAAGCAUCAGGUUCUGACCACUGCUGGAGGCAGGAUGCUGAGCUCGAUGACCCAAUGACAGGAUCAGAUGUGGCAAGUCCUAUUGUUUUUGCUUUAACUGUGUGUGGCAUAGUUCAUGCAAUCUAUAAUCACUAAAGCUGUUCUGGGCAUCUGACACAGUGUCAGCAGCAACGAUAGCUAAAUCCCAUAGUUCAACCUGCUGUUUAAAGUGAGCUCAAGUCUCCGAUAUCUGGCACACCAGCUUUCAACAAAAACUUCUCCAAGUCUUUUGACUAAGUGAGCUGAUUUCCUAGAGAAGUAGGCAAGAGAUUAAUCCUGCUCCAAAAUGAAAAUAAGCCCCAAGUAAAUAUCACGUUCUCCUCCAAGGAGCUCACUAAUAAGCCUUCUGUUCCUCAGAAGAGCUGCUAAUCCUAAAAUAUGGGGAAUCUGGAAGCAGACUGUCAGCAAGAACAUUUGUUAGAACUCACGCCCAAAAGGGUCAAAGUAAAAUAUCCUGGACUGGCUCCAGCCUAUUUCAUCGCUAAUUUAAGCACAGCCUUUCAUUAGUACGUGUCAUGGCAAACAAGAAGGCGAAAUAUCAAACGCUGAAUAUAGAACUGUUCCCACAAAGAGGCCACCGAAUGAGCGAGAGAAAUUUUUGUGGGUGACUGCUUGGGAUUUGUUCAAACAUGUCUAACGCCCAUCCAGCUGUCUUAGGCACUUGCCUAUUGCUUUAGGGGGUGGUUUUCAAAAGCUUCCAAGGGAGUGAGGCACUCAAAUCUCAUUGAUCUUCAAUGGGAGCUGGGUGCCCAAAUCCCUUAGGCACUAAAGGUGGGAUUUGGAAAGUGGCCAAAGCCUCUCUCCUGCCUUUACUCAAUGCUGGAAAAUGGCUUUGAAUACAUCUUUUCUCAUUGUCUCCUGACCAUCUCUCUCUAGCUGUCCUGAGGUUCUUCGCCACCACUGGCUAGCCACAUAGAAGUAGCUGUUAAAAACAGCUUGUAUCUGUUGCGGGACCAAGUCUGUGCCUAUUCCUGACAGUUGCAGACUGGGCCAUGCUGAUCCAGGCUUGCUUGUCCUCCAGGCUUGGACUAUUGCAAUGCACCAUACCUGGAAGUGAAAUUGGGAGAGGGGAGGCCUUUGAAGAAACUCCAGUGGGUCACACACACAUUGUCUCUCUUGCUAAGCUGUCUGUAUAGGGUUCUGCAAGACCCUUAGACCAGAGUUCCAGGCAAUACAAUGGCUCCCCAUCAAUCAAUUUCUAGGUCCUAAUCUUCAUCUCCAAAGUCCGGAAUGAGCUAGCCCAGGACUGUCUCAUUCUGUGCUACCAGGAUCCUUAAUUUGUAGGCACCUAGAAGAUAUUAAGGUGAUAAGGAACAGUCGACAUGGGUUUGUCAAAAACAAAUCAUGUCAAACCAACAUAAUAUCCUUCUUUGACAGGGUAACAAUACUUGUGGAUGGGGAGAAGCAGUAGAUGAGCUAUAGCUCGACUUUAGUAAGGCUUUUGAUAUUGUCUCACAUGACCGUCUCUUAAGCAAAUUAGGGAAGUACAGCCUAGAGGAACCUACUAUAUGGCAGGUAUACAACUGGUUGGGAAACCCUACUAAGAAAGUAGUUAAUAGUGGUUCAACAGAUGGCAGCUCAACCAAUGCCUCCUUCUAGCGCAGCCGCUUGUGGUGUACAUCUGUUCGUGACUGCUCACUGGGAUGGACGGAGCCAUCCCACAGGCCAUGUUAGGUGAGCCACAGCGUGCUCAGACUCAAGGCUGUUUGUGUAAAUAUUUCAUGGGUGACAUUUGAAUCAAUGCACAUUCGUGUCAAGGGAAGAGGCUACUUAAGUACUCAGUGAUUAAUUCAGCAGAAUAUGAUACCUUCCCUGAGGGAGGGGGCAGUCUAUGGAGAAGAUGGACAGAAAGCUUUGGUUUCUAAGGGCAUGUCUACACUACGAAAUUAGGUCGAUUUUAUACAAGUCGAUCUUUAGUAAGCGAUUUUAUACAGUCAAUCGUGCAUGUCCCCACUAAGCGCGUUAGGUCAGCGGAGUGCAUCUUCAAUACCGUGGCUAGCAUUGACUCACAGAGUGGUGCACUUUGGGUAGCUAUCCCACAGUCCCGCUGCCCAUUGGAAUUCUGGGAGCUCCCAAUGCCU